AUCCAAGGAGCAGUUAACCACAGGACCUUCUAUCCUCAUUGACUGGUGAGUGAGAUACCUUACAAACUACUUCAGCUGGCGAUGAUUGGAGCACAUGAGAAAAAUGUGAAAAGAUUAAUUGGAUUUUGAUUAUUGCAGUGUUAUUUUACAAUUUCUUUUUUUUUCUUUUAUUCUUUUAACAGAUGUUUUUUUACUUUCUUAAUUUAUUACCACAAGUUUGUCAGUGUUCUGUGGAUUUGAGGUCAGUGUGUUACAAUGAGCAGAAUCUGUGCUUGAAAUGGUUAUUUUUCUUCCUCCCUACAGAGACUUUUCUGCUCACCAAAGUCAAAAUGGUAAAUUACGAAGUCACUGUACACACCGGCAAAAUGGUCCACGCCAACACUUUCAACGAUGUCUUCAUUAAGUUGGUGGGAACAGCUGGAAACAGUCAGCGUACUCAGCUCAAAGAUAUCAGAGGGCCUUUAACCUUCGCCCCUGGAGCAGUAAGUCUGAAAUACCCUUUUCCAUCUUCACAUGUAUUAUGUUCAUCUAAAAGCAACUUUACCUGAGAUAAAAGGUACAUUACAAAGAACACUUGAGAAGUUUGUGUUACCAAUAUAUGUGCUCUGUAACUCUUGAGGCUCUGCUCACUAAUGGGACAAAUACAACAAAUUGGUAGCACUCUGAUAUUUCGUGUAGAUGUUUGUGUCACACAAUCUUUUUUGAAUGUAUUUGUAUGUUUAUUACUAGGAUCUUAUAGAUCUUAUUUCUUUCUGUUUACAAAUGAUUUGUCUCUGACCUUAUAAAUGGCUUUGGUCUAAUAUAUUUUUCAUUACUUAAGGUGUCAAAUUUUACCGUGUCCUGCUUUGAAUCCAUUGGAGAAGUGACCAUGAUAGAGCUGGAUAAACAGCAUUCCCCUACUGUGCCUCAGAAUAACUGGUUUCCUUCCAAAGCGGAGGUGAAAUCUCCUGAGGGAAACACCUACAAUUUUCCCAUUUACAACUGGAUCAAUGACAGCGAGGUGCACGUAUUCAGAGAGGGAAAAGGUUUGAACUAUUCACAGAAAAUAAAGACAAGUACUGAAAAAUAGAUUUAUGAAAAAAUAUAUAUUAUUCAUGUUGAGGAAUUUAACACCUUAUUUUGGUUCUUUCAUUAAGCUCUUCUGGUCUAUGAAGACACACAACUUGGCAAGACGAGUCGUCAACAGGAGCUGGACCAAAGAAAAGAGGACUACCAGUAAGAGCUGAGAACUUAUCCCUUUUUCAUUUUUAUGAAAUCAUAGUACUAUCCAAAGCUGUUUAUCUUACAAAUAAUGAUAUUAACUUGGACGACUGUAAUUUAAAAAAAAAAAAAAAAACUAUGGAAUGAUGAAACCUAUCAGGGUUCAUCUGAAUCGACUGUAAUUCAAUUUAUAAAUUUUAUGUGUCAGGUAUAAAAUCCAGUCAAACUCCAUAUCAAAACCUGAAAUACUAUGUUCAUGAUAACAAGACUUUAAAGUGUUUUUAACUCUGAUGUAUCCUGUUUAUCUAAGAUGGCGGGUGUAUGCUCCAGGAAUCCCUCACUGCAUAAAAAAUGAGGCCCCGAGCUCACUGCCCUUUGAGGUCCAGUUCUCUUUCACCAAGUCUGCAGAGUUUGACUUCACUGCAAAAAAAGGGUGAGGUCCUCAAAUUCUGUUAGAUGUCUAUCACUACUCCAGUAUAACUGCAUAUCCACCUGUUUAUCAAAACUUUUAACGGUAUAACAUCAACUUUAUGCCUAAAUAUUCUAGAAUGUUGGAUCUGAAGCUGGAUGGAUAUGCCAGUUGCAAGAUGCAGUGGACUGACAUGGAGAGUAUCUACAGCUUGUUCUGCUGCAAACAGACGGACACAGCAGGUAUUACCCUGUCAUCAGGCUUUGACAGACAAUUUGGCAAUUCAUGCAAGUCCUGGAUGGACCGUAUAACCAUUAAUGUAAAAUAAAAUAAAAUCUGACUUACUAGCAGAGACCAAUGUUGGAACAGCACAUUUGAUUAGGAUUUUUACUGUCCAAAACUGAAAAAAUGACACUGUGAAUCAGGUGCCGUGUUACCAACAAUCUGCACCUCCACCCACUCUUUCGAAAUGAAAAUGACCAUCAUCUGUAAUAUUCAUGAUUGAGACUCUAAGGACAAUUAUAAAAAGAAGCACUUUAGGGUGUGCAGACAGCUGAGCAUGUACGGAGACCAUGGUCACUGCAGUGAUUGCGUGCUGCAUGCCCCCCCCCCCCAACUCUCUAUAUCUCCCACAUUUCACCACUGUCCUGUCAAUUAAAGGUGACAGUGCCCCCCCAAAAAACACUGCGAUCUAUUUUUUUUUGUAUAACUGCAUGCCCACAAUACUUAUAAGACUUUUAUUACCCAUUUUUUCCAAGCCUAUGUCCAGCAACACUGGAAGGAGGAUGAGUUUUUCGGCUACCAGUUUCUAAAUGGUGUCGACCCCAUGUUGAUCCGACGUUGUUCAGUCCUUCCCGAGAACUUUCCUGUCACUGACAGCAUGGUUUCCAUUCAUGGUGAUCACACCCUGGAAGAGGAAUUGAAGGUGAUUUCCUCACUUUGAAUUGUCUCGAAAACAAAUUAAUUUCCUCAAAUGUACACUCCUUGUGUUAACAUUUCAAACUGAUUUUUGUUGCAUUUGUAUUGUAUAUAAAUCAAUGCUAAUUCGCACUCAAACUUCAAACAGAAUGGCAACAUAUACCUGUGUGACUACAAGCUCUUGGAUGGAGUCAAAGCAAACACUGUCAAUAAGAAGCAGCAGUACCUGACGGCUCCCCUUGUCCUGCUCCAGAAAACACCUGAUGACAAGUUGAUGCCGAUUGCAAUCCAGGUGAGAGAAACUGAGAUAUAACUAAUGAUAAAAUUUAGGGCUUGAUUUUGGUAGUAAUCACUUUGGGGGUUAGAUAUUAAUUCAGAAGAUAGCAGCUAUUGUCUUUCUGAGGCAGUUAAAUUUUUAUUUCUGUCAAAGCUGAAACUUCCAGGGGUUGGUUAUCUUUAGUUUUGUCUGCACCAGUGGUUUGUGAGCCAAGAGUAAGACUGUGAAUAACCAACCGCCAAACUAGUCAGGUUUGUCCACCCACAGACUCUUGUUUUAGCAUGCUGUAUUUUUUUUUUUUCCAAGUAAAUGUUUUCAACAGUAUCCCACAAGGCUUCAACAGGCAGGUGAACAGCUGACACGAUGCUGGCUACAAUCAAAAUUUAAACGUUCAUAAUCAUCUGCUUAUGCGCCAUUUUUGGGUACACUGAAAACAAAUGUGAAGUCAAGUUAUUGCAUGUCCCACAAGAACAAACCACAUUUCCCUUUCUUUCUCCUGCAGCUGAAGCAGACUCCAGGAGAGGACAACCCCAUCUUUUUUCCUACUGAUUCAGAGUACGACUGGUUGUUGGCCAAGAUUUUUGUGAGAAGCGCAAGUUUCAGUCAGCAUCAACUCAAUGUUCAUCUGCUGCGCACUCAUCUGCUGGCUGAAGUUUUUGCUGUGUCUCUGCUGCGCAACAUGCCCAUGGUGCAUCCCCUGUACAAGGUAACUGUAUUGCAAAGUUUUUACUCUGCCGUAAGAAACCUUGUAGAUUUUUAAGAUUUAUUUUCAGACUUUUUGCCUUUUUUGAAGAGGACAGUGGAGAAACCAAGAAAGGAGAGCAGGGGGUGACAUACAGGAAAGGCUAUGGAAGCAAACUCAUGGUUGGCCACUCAAGGCAUGACCUUUUAGUCAUCUAGUCUAGUCUGACAUGUCGAGGUUGCAAGUCUAGGUUAGCACAUUUUAAUUUUUUUCCCAACCAGCAAGAAACCCUUCAGGGGAACUUUGGUUUGCAGAAAACCGAUAUGUCAGUAUUAGGCCUGUCGCGAUAAUCAAUAAAUCGCCUUAUCGCUCGGUAAAUAAAAACGAGGUUGGUCAUUUGCCAGCCUCGAUAAUUAACGUGCAUUUGUUUUCCCUCUUCUCUCGCUACCAAACACGCUGGAUGAGAGAAGAGGUCUCACUCUGCGCAUUGUUCUCGGCACCUGGGGGCGUUGGCUCUAUAGCGGAAUGAACGGAGUUAGUGAACCCUCCUGUCAGUCAUUCAGUAUCUUUGUCACGGGGGGUGACAAGUGAGCGUCGUGAGUGAAAAGCAAGCAAACAGAAUGAACACGACAGCUUUGGUGUCUAAACCGAACGCAACAGCCCAAGUGUGCGAAUAUUUCGGCUUUAAACCAAAUGAAAGAGGUGAGCCCACAAAUACGGACGAGCCGAUAUGUCGUAUUUGUUCCAAAAUUGUGGUGACAAAGAAGGGGAAUACGACGAACAUGCAUGCGCACCUCAAGCACAAUCAUCCCCUCCAUUUUUCCCAACUGAGCAAAAAAAGUACUGCCGGAGGUGCUGCGGAGCCAUCGUCCCGACAGGUACCGUUUACUGAAGCGUUUGGCAAGCAAAGCAAAUAUAAACAAAACACCGCAAAAUGGUGCGCGCUGACAGACAGCGGAAAUUGAAGUUUAUCACUUUUGGCAUGGUGUACUCGCAUUAUUAUGCCAUAUAUUAUCAUUUUCGAUAAUUUAAAAAACGGUGUCAAUUAUAUCGUUUAUCGGCAAUAAUUUGUAGCACAAUUAUCGUCCAGCAAAAUUUGUUAUCGUGACAGGCCUAGUCAGUAUGUAUCUAGAUAAGAAUUUUACAUUGCUGAAUAGUAUAUGUGCAUCAAAUUUUAAACGUGAUUUAAAGAAGUUUUAAUAUUACCAUAACAGAGUUCAUUUUUCCCCCAGCUCCUCAGCCCUCACACUCGCUACACUCUGCAGAUCAACGUCAUGGCUCGAAUUGUGCUGAUUUCUGAGAAAGGAGCUUUCACAAACGUAAGAAACAAGCAAGCUUAGUGGUGCAUCCUUCAAACAUUGUUUUUUUCCUAGAAGUGUCUCCAACAAGUUCUCAUAUUGAUUAUUUUCUAGUAUUCUGCAUCUGGUGGAGAGGGUUUGCUCACAAUCCUUCAGAGGGCAACGUCCUCUAUAACAUACAGCUCCCUCUGCAUACCAGACGACAUUGCUGAGCGUGGGCUGGAGGCAAUACCCAACUACUACUACAGAGAUGAUGGAAUCGAGCUUUGGAAUAUCAUCCACAAGUACUCAUGAGUUCCUAUUCUGCAUUUUGUUGAUCAUCUGUAUAGUUAUCAAGGAAAACCUCCAUAAAAGUGAUAUAGAUAGGAUCAACUCAUCUUUAGGAUAGGUGAGAAGAUUCCUGUCCUGGAUGCAAAAGUCAGUAUCUGUGAAACAACACAUAUGGUACAAUAUUUGUGUUAUGACGUGCUUUGACUUCAUGGUGUUCUUUAAUUUAUAAAGGAAAGAGCUACAUUGAUUCCUAUUAGUUAAAAGUCCCAUGGCAUGCCAAUUUCACACAAUUUAAAAUAGUCCCCUGGUGUGUUAAAAGCAUGUCUGUGACGUCCUUCGGUCAAAAUUCGAUUUGGAUCAAUUAUUUUAGUGCUCUUUUUUUCAGCUAAAAACAGCUCCGCUCAGAAUCCUCCGUUUUGGGCGAUGUCUCUUUGAUGAUAUGAGCUGCACCUAAGCCACGUCCACUUUACACCCAUCUCUCUGGAAGGGGCUGUGGCUGUGCUCCGAUAGCCAUGUGCUAAUGUUUACACUGGCUCGGUCAUAGCUGCAAGAAGAUCGCUCGUACAACCCUACCAGUUUGAGCCAGAGUCUGACCCAGAGAAAAAACUCUCAGCCGCGUUCAGACGAAACGCGACUUCAAGCGACCAAGUCGACAUAUCCUGUGUAUUAUUCAAAGCUGCCAGGUGGGUCACGCGUAGCCGGGACGUCCCGUAUUUGAGCCAAAAGAGGCGCGUCGCCGCACGGGUAAAUGCUAAAGCUACAUGCUGCUCUGGAGGGGCCACCGAAGCGAGCGGCUAAAAUACGGAAGGAUCCGGUAAACCGGCGCGGAUUCGGUGUGUUUAUCGAAGCGUGGUGGCCGUGCAGAGGCACCGGGGGAAUUUACGCUAAACAGUAAGUCAAAAUAAAACGUUCUGUACUUACAGGUGCCACGUUUGUAGCAGGAUCACGGAUAGUUGGUACGGAUCCAUUCUUUAUCUUCAGACAUCUAGCAAAUCCAGCGUUGAACUGUCCCUCGUUGAUAAAACAGUCCGAAGUGAAAUGGUACACACAUACGUACAGAUAUUUUGGAAGUGCCGCGGGUACAUUCCCAUUAUAAAUAAAAUCCACCCAUUGAGUCCUCAAAUCCUCCGACGAGGGAGUUUUGUGCUCGUUUGUGCAGCCAACAACAGAGCAAACGCUGCCUCUUUUUCAGAUCGUACUUUCGCCAUGGUUCUAACCGGAGUAAUGCGAGAGAGCGGCCGGGGAAAAUGGCGCUGUUUAGAUAAUCUUUUGGGCAGGGCAGUGGGCGGCUCCAUGGGCAGUACCAUCAACCCGCCAGCACUGUAAUGACGUCAUGUCAGUGGAGUUUUCAGAACGGCCAGGUGUUGUGCCGUAGAAUGCACCCCUGCCGUAGAAUGCACCCCCUGCAUCCCAUCCACUCGUUAGCUUCUUAAAGUGGAAGAAAAUGAUCUCAUAUUUUUAAAAAAAGGAGUAUUUGAUCGUGACAACUUUCGUUUUGUUUUUAUGUGUCUCUAAAAUGCACAUACGGAGGUGUGCUUGGGUAUAUAAAUUGUAUAGUAAACUGUCAAGCUAGCGAACAUUAUAUUUUCGGGACAGCAAAUAUUCCGAAACAGAGGGCUAUUUUUUUGGCUUAUCUGAAUAGCCUGAAUGAGAAUAUUAAAGGCAUACGCUUAUGAAUUCAUCUAAUGGUAAGGAAAACUUGGAUUAUUUUCGCCUUCUUAAGUACUUUCGACCGCGCUCGUCGGGGGUGCAUUCUACGGCAGGGGUGCAUUCUACGGCACAACACCGGCUCUGAGCACACAGUUCCUAAAUACAGAGAUAACUAAAAAACGACUGGAUGGAAUUUUUUCGAACUUGGGGGGGAUUGUAGCAGUUUUCUAUCCCUGAUAUGCACCCCCAUGGCCCCUUUAAGUUUUCCUCUUCUGUAGUUUAUGUUGUUACUAGUUAAAGGCUCACUUGAUGUGAGCUGUGUGAGCUUGAAAUGUCAAAUAUCCUGUUUAUUAUAUUAAAUAUGGAUGGCUUUACAAAAAAUGGGCUAUUCAAGCCUCAGCUACUAAAUCAUGAUUGGCUUGACAGGCAGUUGAUCAUAAAUUGUUGUCAAAACUCAUGUUUUGAACAAAGAUGAGCUGAAAGAAAAGAGCACAAGCAUUUAGCAGGAAGCAAUAUGUCAUUGUCCUUUAGGAGAUGCAGAAGCAGACUAUCACAGAGUGCACAUAUGACCAUAAGAAAUAAAUAAAUAGAUCUGAUUGUUCAAAGAGAUGGUCUUUCAAUAAACCCAGAAAAGACCCUCAUACCCCAUACAGGGUAUGUAUUUCAUAGAUCUUGUCCACUUCUCUUCAAGGUUUGUGAAAGGAAUCCUCAGCUUCUACUACAAGACUGAUGUAGAUGUCCAGAGAGACUCUGAACUGCAGAAGUGGAUUUCAGACAUUUUUGUGAAGGGAUUCCUCUCCAGUGCCAACAGUGGUGGGUUUGAAAGAAAAACUCUCUUCAUCUUUACAAAUAUGAGCAUCACUUAAACAAAAUGAUGCAGUUUAUUCUCUGUAACUCUCAGGAAUUCCAGAGAGAUUUACCACAGUGGCCCAGCUGGUCAAGUUUGUCACCAUGGUGAUCUUCACUUGCUCAGCACAGCAUGCAGCUGUAAACUCUGGACAGGUGAGGUAUCUUAAUGUAGGUUUUCACUGCAUUUUUGGCUUUAAAUCCUUUAAGUAGAUGGAUAGGAUUGGGAAUAACAGUUAGGUAGAUCGGCCCGUAUUUAGGUAUCAAGACUUGGCCAUCUGUUUUGAGGACUAUUACCUCUGUUACUGGAAUGCAGACAAUAAAAGAUGAAAUUGAACCUUUUCUUUUGACAUUUUGAAAUAUUUCAGUGGACAAAGUAAUGAAAAGGCUGUAUAUAAGCCUGACAUGGGGUUUCUCAUGUGACUAUAACAUCCCAAAUAUCUGUUGCGGUGUAUAAUGCAGUGCCUUACUCCUUCAUCACAGUUUGAUUUUGGUGCCUGGAUGCCCAACUCUCCCGCGUCCCUACAACUUCCUCCACCGACUAUUAAGGGAAAAGCAACUGAGGCCACCAUGCUGGAAACGCUCCCUGACGUCGAUGGGACAGCUAAUGGAAUAACUAUCCAGCAUCUUCUCAGCAAGCAGUCCACUGACUUUGUAAGAUCCACAAAUACUUCAUUUGAAAGUAAAUGAAUGAAAUGUAUGCAUAAGAUGUGUUAAGUUAGACAACAUGAAGGUAAAGUUAUAUUAUACGGUCCUGACAGCUUUACACACUGCUGUUCAAAAAAGAGGAAUAUAAGUGGAGGAGCCAGAGACAAUAAAAAAAAAACAUCACAACAACAAAUACACAGAAUUAACCAUAUGUUCAACAUGAUUUCUGCAUUCCUCAUGAUUUUUAGGCCAACAAUAAACAUUCAUGCUGAUUUCUCACCAUUCAUUGUUUUGCCAGCAGUCUAUGACUGUAAAGAUUUAAUGCUAAUGGAAUCAAAAACUAACCUUUAAAUGUUUCAUUGGUGUCACCAGGUCCCUCUUGGCCAGUAUCCAGACCAGCUGUUCUUUGAGGAGAUUCCCUGCAAACUGAUCAGGACUUUUCAAGGAGAGCUUGAAGUCCUGAGUGUACGCAUCAAAGUCAGAAACAGGGAACUGGAUCUCCCAUACAACUUCAUGAACCCAACUAUGGUGGAGAACAGUGUGGCUGUUUAAAUACAUGUGUGACCUGCUCAGCUCAUGGCCAAAAUUAUCUUAAUUUUGAGGGAAAACUGUGAUGAUAUGAAACUUUUCAGCAGGAAUAUUUUUGUUGCUUCUUCUCAAUUAUAUCCAGCUUUAAUCAUUCGGGUUUAUCAGAUGAGUACUGCUGCCAGGUUAAGUUUUCUGUACACGACAGGAAAAAAAAUCAUUAGACAGGCAUCAUGUAGUGUAUCUCCUUCUUUAGCUUCUGUGUGUCUUAUUUUCUUUUACAAAUAGAUGUAUUCAGUUGCACUUCAGUUGAAUUUCAAGUUAUAUGCCUUUUUUGACAGAGUAAUGCCGCACAGGGUUCAAAGGGCUGCUUCCAUUUUGCUUAUUUUUCUAUAUUCGACAGAAUGAAUUUUUGCAGUCUGAGACAAUACUGCACUUUUGAUUCUUUGGUGUGUCUUCCAAUCUAGUUCCUAAUAAAAUACCUAUCAUUUAA
rnacentral:lncRNA from 1 species